ensembl:lncRNA
CUUUCGCCCCACCUCAUCGUCCCUCCUAUCCCAAUCAUCAAUCCACUACUCCCCCCCACAAAAUCAACAAAUGAUAUUCGCUAUCACCCUCUAUAUCCUUACUAUAAUUUCCAUUAUAACACUCAGCAACACCCAUCUGAUGCUUUUGGACGUCCUGCGGGUGAGAAAGCAGAGAGGCUGGACAGUGAAAUGACAGAUAAACUGAAGGCCACGCCGUCCACUCCCUCGCCCACGGGCCUUGGCACAGAAUUCGACUGCUCAGUCUUCCUCGGGUGCUGCUCGUACCCUGUGAAGUCGUGUACAAAGGGACCGCAUUUAAUCCUUGCGCUGCCGGACUCUGUGCUGGAGCCCACAGUGCCCCCCCCAGCUCAUCCGUCUCAGCGCAGUAAUGGGUCCUGCACGCUGUACAAGCUGACCUCUGACCGUGACCUCUACGCCGUCCCCCUGGAGGGCUGUGGCGUUAUCCAACACGUGUUUGGUGAGACGGUGGUUCAUCUGUUGGAGGUCCAUGGAAUCCACUCCCUCCAACGAGGCCACAGCUCUGAGCUUGUGAACUCUCCAGUCAGGUUGAUGGUGGCAUGUAGCGCCUCCCCGGGUUCUCCUGGUGAAGUGACACUCCAUGUGAUGGCUCAACCUCAUCCCGCACGCUCUCCACCAGCCGCUGUCACUGUGCUGCUGAGAAUAGCCAAAGAUGAGUCCUUCACUGGCUUCCACCCUGAGGCUCACCUGCCUCUCAGUCUACUCCGAGGGAGACCAGUGUAUGUGGAGGUGAGCCUGCUGAACCCCCCCCAGGCCCGGCCUGGUGCUGCUGGUCCACUCCUGCCUGGCUUACACUCGAGCUCCAUAUGCCAGCUGGAUGCUGGUCUAUGA